rnacentral:lncRNA from 1 species
GCUCUGGGUUAAAUGGUGCAAAAUCCUGCAUUCUCGCAAUUUCCGAGGACUUAAAAUGUCCUCACAGAAAUCUUACUUUCAGGAGAAACAAGUCCACUUUGGAAAUAAAUAAUCAGAGAAAAACAAAGAAACCCGUACUGUUGGGCUUAACAAUUUGUUUUUUUUCUUUUCUUAUGUGUAGUGGGUUAAAAUGGCUUGAUUAGGUAUAUUUUAUUUGUUACCUAAUCAUGCUGAACCCACUUUACAUUAGAAAACAAACUAAUUUCUAAGCCAACACUGUGCAACUUAAAUGGUAUUUUUCUUAUUGAGAUAAUACAUAAAAAA